rnacentral:rRNA from 1 species
GAUCCUGGCUCAGGGUGAACGCUGGCGGCGUGCCUAAGACAUGCAAGUCGAGCGGGGCAGGUUUAUACCUGUUCAGCGGCGGACGGGUGAGUAACGCGUGGGUGGCCUACCCGGAAGAGGCGGACAACCUGGGGGAAACCCAGGCUAAUCCGCCAUGUGGUCCUGUCCUGUGGGGCAGGACUAAAGGGUGGAUAGCCCGCUUCCGGAUGGGCCCGCGUCCCAUCAGCUAGUUGGUGGGGUAAAGGCCCACCAAGGCGACGACGGGUAGCCGG